rnacentral:rRNA from 1 species
UACGCAUGGGGCGAGCGUUGUUCGGAAUUAUUGGGUGUAAAGGGCGUCUAGGCGGGAGAUUAAGUUAGAUGUGAAAGGCGUGGGCUUAACCCACGAAUUGCAUCUAAAACUGGUUUUCUUGAGUUCGGGAGAGGAGAGCGGAAUUCUUGGUGUAGCGGUGAAAUGCGUAGAUAUCAAGAAGAACACCAGUGGCGAAGGCGGCUCUCUGGCCUAGAACUGACGCUGAAGCGCGAAAGCGUGGGUAGCGAACGGGAUUAGAUACCCCGGUAGUCCCUGA